CAAUAGCGUAUAUUUAAGUUGUUGCAGUUAAAAAGCUCGUAGUUGGAUUUCGGAUGGGAUCUGCUGGUCCGUCUUUGAGAUGUGUACUGGUAGGUCCUAUCUUGUUGUCGGGGACCAGCUCCUGGGCUUCACUGUCCGGGACUGGGAGCCGACGAAGUUACUUUGAGUAAAUUAGAGUGUUCAAAGCAAGCCUACGCUCUGAAUAUAUUAGCAUGGAAUAACACGAUAGGACUCUGGCUUAUCUUGUUGGUCUGUGAGACCAGAGUAAUGAUUAAGAGGGACAGUCGGGGACAUUCGUAUUUCAUUGUCAGAGGUGAAAUUCUUGGAUUUAUGAAAGACGAACUUCUGCGAAAGCAUUUGUCAAGGAUGUUUUCAUUAA
rnacentral:rRNA from 1 species